rnacentral:rRNA from 1 species
CUACGGGAGGCAGCAGUGAGGAAUAUUGGACAAUGGGCGGAAGCCUGAUCCAGCCAUGCCGCGUGAAGGAUGAAGGCGCUCAGCGUUGUAAACUUCUUUUGGAUGGGAACAAUAACUCCGACUUGUUGGAGCUUGAGGGUACCAUCAGAAUAAGCACCGGCUAACUCCGUGCCAGCAGCCGCGGUAAUACGGAGGGUGCAAGCGUUAUCCGGAAUCACUGGGUUUAAAGGGUGCGUAGGCGGUCUAAUAAGUCAGUCGUGAAAUCGCUGGGCUCAACCCAUGCAAUUGCGAUUGAUACUGUUAGACUUGAAUUGGGUUGAGGCUAGCGGAAUGCGACAUGUAGCGGUGAAAUGCUUAGAUAUGUCGCAGAACACCGAUUGCGAAGGCAGCUAGCUGGGCCUUUAUUGACGCUGAGGCACGAAAGCGUGGGGAGCAAACAGGAUUAGAUACCCGGGUAC